UACGGGGGGGGCAAGCGUUGUUCGGAAUUACUGGGCGUAAAGGGCUCGUAGGCGGCCAACUAAGUCGGACGUGAAAUCCCUCGGCUUAACCGGGGAACUGCUUCCGAUACUGGAUGGCUUGAGUGUGGGAGGGGGAUGCGGAAUUCCAGGUGUAGCGGUGAAAUGCGUAGAUAUCUGGAGGAACACCGGUGGCGAAGGCGGCAUCCUGGACCAUUACUGACGCUGAGUGAGCGAAAGCCAGGGGAGCAAACGGG
rnacentral:rRNA from 1 species